UUUCCCCCUCCCAAAGUGCCGCUUCCAUUUUUGGGCAAACAACAAGCUUCACUAAGCAUGGCAGAAUAUGUUACUCCAUUUUCGUGUUGUGUCCGUAUCAAUCACGUGAACAGUUGAAUAGACCCAAAUUGAAGGACCAAUUCCCGCUCAAGAAAGUGAACCCUAGUUUUUCUCUAUAAAUACAAAGCUUUUGAUCCUCCGCCGCAUCUCUCCUCUCAGCAAAGCUUAUCACUUUUUUUUUGUUGUGAUCCCGAAAUCGAGUGUUUAAAACUCAGAAUCAUUCGUAUUCGAGAGUAGAAUUGUAACUGAAGGGCUUCAGUUUCAGUUCGCUGCUCUCCAAAAGUCCUGUAUCAACGUCGCUGUAGAUUUUAUUUCUCCUGAAAAGGUGACUGAGUGCAUCCGUUUGACCGAGGAGCUUCGCAAGCUUCCUCGAAAUCAUGAAGCUAGGGCAGACAAGUUAGUUGAUUGAUCGUUGUAUUGGUUCAAAGAUUUGGGUGAUAAUGAAUAGGUGAUAAGGUGCUUGUUGGUACACUUAGACGGUUUGAUGUUUAUGUUAACAUGGUUCUUGAAGAUGUUACUGAAUAGUGUCCGAGAGACUCUUCGAGUCCCGACUAAUCCCGGGGGUGCACAGACCCUCGGCAAGGAGUUUCCCGCAAGUGCACCACGGGUAAUUCAGGGUUUCACCCAGUCCGAUGGCCCUCAGAAAUUGUUUGCACCCAGUGGGAAUCAAACUUGAGACCUUGAAAGGGAGCACCCCAAAGCUCAAGCCAAUUACCACCAGGUCAACCCCUGAGGGUUCUUGGGCUCCUUACUGAUGAUUAGACAACCUUAAUAGAAGGGGCUUUCAGUUGGUCAAUGUAUCUUAUUUAUGCAAGAGAAAUCAGGAAUCAACCAGACGCGUAUGUCUGCAUUGCCCGGUGGCCUAUAUUUUAUCGAAUAUGUUCCUAUGUGUUUUUGACUUAAUUCAAUAGUGAGUUGGAAUCUCUAGGAAGUUGAUAAGACGAUCAAUAGCACUCUAGUUUCGAUAUGGAGUCUCAAUAUAUAGGGGCUAACAACUCUCUUUUGUAUUUUGUUUCCUUUUAAUUAUGGUCCUUGAUCAUGCAA